UUAUAAUAUAAUAGUUUUGUUUGUGGAAACACUACGUAAAUUUAUUACUGCAUUACGUGGUGUUUCCACAAACAAAACUAUUAUAUAUUUUAUCGCCAUGC